AGCUAAGUUGAGGGACCGUGGCCGGGGAGGGAGCGAGUUUGGGGGUUGUGGUGGAGGGGUUUUAUGGCUAGCGCCGGGGCGAGGGCUGUCUGGGAGCAGUUCCCCUUGGCUGGGCAAAGGGAGCGGGUUACAUGUCACCACGAUGCUAGACCGGGCAGGGCAGUUGCAGCCUGUGUUAUGUCUGCGUGUCUCGUCCUGUGUGUCUUAGCCCUUCCUUGGGUCUCAACGCCCUCUUUGCGCUCAAGGGGCACGGCACGCUUCUCGGGCGCCGUCCCUAGGCUCUCGAACGCUGGUACUUGUCAGCGUACCGCCAAUCGGGCGCUUCUUUUCUCCCAUAGCGAGCUUACGGCGUGGAUCAUUCUUGCGUGUUGGAAGUUUCUGGAGGGUCCUCUAUUUGCAGCGCUAUACCAGGCUGCGUCCGGAGCUCUGCUCUCCAGCUAUCCAUUUUCAGGGACUGGGUCUUCCUCCCUGCAUCCUUACCUCCUUAGGUCUUGAAGACGGGCUUGUUGCUGCCCCCAUCAUCUCGGUUUUGACAGUAACUUCUUAUAACGGGCCAUUUACGGUCAAUUCUCUUCUGGGGUUGCCAUAGAGCUUCCUCACCCGGGCGUCGUGCCCUAUAGGUCGCCUUGUUCGGCAGCCUCUCCGGUCCGGGAGUCAUUCCUCUCGCGAAGAGUGUUCUCUCGUUUGUGAGUCGCGUUGUUUGUAGCGUUCUGUGUAGCGUCCGUCUCUGUGUGUGGUGUGUGUGUGUGGAGCUGCUCUGCCCAGGGCUGUCGAGUCGGGGAUAGGCGGAAUAGCAAUAGGAGCGUACGGUUAGCGUGCCGAUACGGCCCGUCCGGAAUUGUUUGGCUCUCACUCGGCAUCUGGGUGACUUGUUUGAUAACUCGGUGUGAUUUUUCCAGAUGCGGACUGGCUAGAUGCCCAACGACGAGCGGCAGAGGAGGAGAGCAGAGCGCCGUAAGAAGGUGGCGGUCAGGCCUCGGCACGGCAGGCCGAAGAAUCCGACUUCGAGCGGCCGAGGAAAAGGGACGGGCGAGAGGAAGGCGUUUCCAAGGAGGGCUUCGUCGCAGCGGAGGUCGACGCCGGGCGGCACGUCGUCGACCGGCGACGCUCUGUCUCGUGAGGGAUGAAGCGGAACCCGGCGGAUGGGGGAGCGUCCCGGUUAGAUGACCUUUUCCCCAUGAGAAGGGAAUCUGGAUUCUGCCCUCUGAAAGCGUUGCAGCGUCAUUUCCGUGAUCUGUGCUUUUUCAUGCGUACGGCGCCUUACGGCAGGUCUCUAGGUUCUGCCGCACGCGCUCGGCGAGCAUCCGCGGGGUCCGCGACGCCUCGUCGCUUCGGAAUACGGCCCGUCGAGCGUUUCUCGUCUCGCGAUCGGAGCUUAAAGCGCACCUCGCAUCGCAGAUGUUUCUGCGAGGUGGCCUUUGCGGAGGCGGUCCGUGCCGGACUCACAGUCGUGCUCUAGAAACUUCCGCCUCAAUUGAAGUUUGAUACCAUCUUUCAUCCCUGUAUGCUGUGGGAUGUCGGACUAGUCUAGUCUUGUUGGUGCCGAAUACAGGGCCAUUUUGACCCAGCAGAAGGGGCCUGGGGGAGUCCAGCUUGGGCGAGAGCAGGGAUUGAGCAACUUGCUUAUCUUGCACUGAUAAGCACCGGACCUGAACAGGGGCAGGAGAUGAGCAAUUUGUUCAUCUUAACAAGAUGCGGCGUCUGACGGGUCUACUCCUUAAUCAACUAAGUGACGCCUGGGGCGAGGGGGAGCCUCCUUCGCAGCUCGACCUUACUUUGGUAAAACUAAACAGACCACCGCUCCUCUGUACCGAACACGUUUGUUCUCCGCCACUUCCCCCCCCCCAGCCCCGACCAACUGCACAACAAGCCUUGUUAAGGGCCAAUCGGCACACAAUACCUGACUUAGUCCCACCUCGCCAAAAGUAUAAAUCUGGCAUUCAGAAUCCUCUUUUUUGAGGACGAGAACUCCAACUAUCCGGACGGGUCGACGGGCCUGGACCUCUCUCUCUCCUCUCCAAGCAGGGACGCCUCUUUGGUAAGACUUGCGCCUCCGAUUAUGUCGGAUGUUACCCUGGGAAAACUAUCAAUAACAAAAGCGCUGAACUAUUAACUUGAGCUCAAAAUUGUUGCAGUAAGUGCAUUUAUCAACGGCAGUUCCAAACUUUUUAUAUCUGUUGCCUCAAUAAACUACCUAUUUUUCUUUUCAACUUUGCGAAACUGUUUCAGUGAAAGUCCUUAGUGGGGCUCUGACAGGCAAACGUUGACUCUGAUAUGUGGCUACACACAUAAUCCUUUAGAUGUAAACCGUUGACCAAGUCUGGGACUAAGACUGGACC